rnacentral:rRNA from 1 species
CCUACGGGGUGCAGCAGGCGCGAAAACUUUACAAUGCUGGCAACAGCGAUAAGGGAACCUCGAGUGCCAGGUUACAAAUCUGGCUGUCGAGAUGCCUAAAAAGCAUUUCAUAGCAAGGGCCGGGCAAGACCGGUGCCAGCCGCCGCGGUAA